GUGGGGAAUUUUGGACAAUGGGCGCAAGCCUGAUCCAGCAAUGCCGCGUGCAGGAAGAAGGCCUUCGGGUUGUAAACUGCUUUUGUACGGAACGAAACGGUCCGGGUUAAUACCCUGGGCUAAUGGCGGUACCGUAAGAAUAAGCACCGGCUAACUACGUGCCAGCAGCCGCGGUAAUACGUAGGGUGCAAGCGUUAAUCGGAAUUACUGGGCGUAAAGCGUGCGCAGGCGGUUUUGUAAGACAGGCGUGAAAUCCCCGGGCUCAACCUGGGAAUUGCGCUUGUGACUGCAAGGCUGGAGUGCGGCAGAGGGGGAUGGAAUUCCGCGUGUAGCAGUGAAAUGCGUAGAUAUGCGGAGGAACACCGAUGGCGAAGGCAAUCCCCUGGGCCUGCACUGACGCUCAUGCACGAAAGCGUGGGGAGCAAACAGGAUUAGAUACCCGUGUAGUCC
rnacentral:rRNA from 1 species